ensembl:snRNA U6 U6 spliceosomal RNA
GUGCUUCCUUUGGUAAUAUAUAUGUGAAAACUGGAACAAUGCAGAGAAGAUUAGCAUGGCCCCUGCACAAAUAUGACACAGAAAUGCAUAUGAUCUUUCAUAUUUUU